CGCUGGGGCCACAGCGGGGGUCCAUAGCGCCUCUUCCCUCCCUCCGUCCUUGGCCAUUUGCCCUUUGGAAUCUAUUAGUGAGCUCUGCCAUUGUUUUUCUGAUUUCAUUAAAAAUGCCACCAAGACACAUGCUCUGCAGCAUGCCACUUCAGUCCUAAGUGGGGCAUUUUUGCUAGAUGAAUCGAUUUCUUAAAUGACAGCAUCUGUUUGCUUGUACACAUUUAUUUAUAAUUCUUCCCUUGGCAAUUAGAGCUGGGGAAUCAGUGAGCGGCAACCAGCUGUUUGAAUUAGCGGGGAAGGGGGGCAGAGAUUUGAUCUGUGAAGGAGAACCAAAGCCCUGGCCGGAAGCGAUAAAAACAGAACAGAUGUCCCCAGAUACACAGUCGUGGGGAGGAACUUGUAAAUCACAUUCACUGCCGGCCCCAGAGAGAUGGCAGCUGAGCUGGAGGAGCCAGAAAAUCCAUGACGGUGGGUGGCUGUGUCUGACUCCCCCUGGGACUCAAGGAGAUUGAUGGAUUCGGGGGCGGGGGGCAGUGGAGUAGCUGAGGGAGUGGAAUUUGGUGAGUUGGAUCCUCUGGUGAUCCCCAUUGCACUCAGGGGAAACCCAAAGUCCUUACUACGGUCCACAAGGCCCUAUGGAUACGGGCGCUGUUACUCCUCUGCCCUCACUCCCUUCUGCUCUCUGCCUGCCUCACUCAGUCUGCUCCAGCCACCACGGCUCCUCGCUGCUCCUAGAACGUGCUGGCUGCUCCCCCUCCUCAGGGCCUCUGAGGUGCCGGCGUCCCCUGUCUGGAGCUCUCCUUCUCCAUCUCCUCUCCACGGGGCUCGCUCUCACUCCUCUUUCAAAUCCGAGCUCCAACGUCACUUCUCAGAACCUGCUAGUUAACACUGCGCCUCAAGCAUCCUCUUCUCUCUUCCCGAGUUUAAUUUUCUCCCGGGUACUCACAACCUUUCUAACUCAACGUACAUCUUUUACAAGUUUAUUUUCUGUCUGCUUCAUGGAAGCUUCAUGAUGGCAGGGACCUCAUCUAUCUUGCUCACUGCUGAACUGUGCUUGGCCCACAGUAGGUGCUCUGUAAAUAUCGGCCGAUUCAAUGGAAGGAUUUUUCAUAUGGGGGAACACAUCGCCCCUUUUUACUCCCCCCUCUGCAACUUGGGGAUGGGUCACAGCUCAGUUCACUGAGGGUGGCUCCCUGAGGACACCGACUCUGUAUUCUUGAUCUCCGUAGCUCCCCAGGGCCCAGCCCAGAGUCUGGCACACAGUAGGUGUGUAAUAAAUAGUUGUUGAAUAAAGAGAUGACUAAAUGACCCAGGCUGACGCUCAACAAUGCUCAAGGCAAAAAUGAGGCCUCAUCCAGAUGCCCUCUUUUAUUCCCUUGCCGGCAGCAGCGAGUCUGACCAGCAGCGCCUGUAAAGUAUGCCUUGCAUGCGAGCACGUCUGCAGUUCCCCCCUUAGUACCCUGGCCUGAGCCGCUUCACUUCCUCCCAGACAGGUGCAACAGCUCCUAACCGGGCCCCGUUGCCACUCUCGCGCCCCCUACAGUCUGUUCUUCGCACAGCGGCAAGAGUGAGUUCAUAGAACUGUCAAUCAGAUCGCGCCAACUGGGGCUCACCACCCUCCAAAAGAGGCUUGUUCCACACCCAGACUCCGCCCUGCGCCGCCUGGUCGUGCGCGCGUGCCUGGCUCCUCGGCCCUCCCUCUCCGCGCUGGGCCACACUGGUCUCCUCUGAACGUCGCUUGGAGCCUCUGUGCUUGCUCUUCCUCUUCCUGGAAAGCCUUCUCCCUAGUUGGUUCCACGCCGGCUCCUUUAUCCUUCAGAACUUAGAGCUUCUUGGAAGAACUAAGAGGCGGCAGGGGAUUCAAGGCACCACUGAACGUCUUGGAGCAACAGUGGGGAGAAGGGACCCCUCCCAGACUGCGGAGAAACUUCCCUCGGCUGGGGCAGGGGAGCGGGGGUGUGCUGGGGUAGGGGAGGGGAGAGAGGGGGUGUGCUGGGGCAGGGGAGGGGAGAGAGGGGGUGUGCUGGGCAGGGGAGGGGAGAGAGGGGGUGUGCUGGGCAGGGGAGGGGAGAGAGGAGGUGUGCUGGGCAGGGGAGAGGAGGGAGGAGUAUGUUGGAGCCUGAGCUGUAGGCCCUGCGCUCUCUUUCCAGCACCCCUUGGGGAGGCAGCAAGGCCCAAGAAGAGGCUGCCUCUAAGGCUAGAGACCCCAACUCAGCCCCCUUGGGGCUAUGCUUGGUUUGCCCUAUGCAGUGUUUUAAUUUUUUUUAAUUAGUUGCCAACAUUUAAGAGAUUGGAUAUUACAGAUUUCUCUUGACAAUUUGGAUCCAGUUGUGCAGCCUGUCUUGAAACAGAGAUCUGGCAGGCCUGGGCCUGCCCUCCCGUGAGGCUGCAGCCGUGGGCCCUGGCAUGCACUUGCUCUGGCCCCAUGGCCCCCACUUCUUGCUGCUGGGUCACAGCCAGUCCACUUGGUUCCUUCCCUGACUGGUCCGGCCCCUGUGGGCAUCUGAGUUCUUGAGCUGUGGCUGAUGGUGGCAGAGGCAGCUUCAGGGAAUUCUCUGGGUCCCAAGCCUGUUCCAAAAGCAACAGUGUGGACCGAUGACUCACACCUGCUGAAACUGUCUCCACUGGGCACUGUGUAAAACCCACGAACCGAGGCCCAACCCCAGAAAGGAGAGGGGACGCCGAGAAGGACGGGAGUUUACUUUAUGCUGGCACAGCAAAGUGGAGGGCAAGAGUCGGAGAUUCGGUGGGUUACAGAGAAUUUUUAAAAACUGGUAUAUUUCUUGAGCAACCCAACCUGUGGAUGAGAUGGGAGGCUGCGCCGCACAGGUUCACUGGGUACAGUUCACCCCCCAAAGACGCAAAUCCCGUGCUUAGGAGGGCUUUAUCGCAUGACAGGCACAGUGGUGAGCCCUUUCUGUUCUCACACUUGAGUGUGCAUCAGUCACCUGGCAGGCCUGUUAAAACAGAUUGCUGGGCGCACCCGAGUGUCUGAGUCAGCGGAUCUAGAGUGGAGCCCCAGAAUUGUUGCCUUUCUAACAAGCUCCCAGGUGAUGCUGCUGCUGCUGACACUGGGGACGACUCUUCAAGAACCACUCAUUUAGAGACUCAUCUUCAGCAGUUCUCACCAUCUUAGUAGGUAGGGUCUAUCAUCUCCUUUUUAAAGAAGACAAGGUUAAUUGGCUCAGGGCCACAAGAGUUUGGGCCCGGGUCUGUCUGCCUGAGCUCCUAACCGCCGUCCGCUUGCGUUGCCUUUCCUGUGAAGCCAAGCCGGCCACAAACACUCACAUCCCUCAUCUUGCGGAGGUGCUGGGUCUGAGGGAAAGGCUGGGUGGGGUGGAGGUGGGAGGGCCUACGCCUGACUCCUCGCUGAGGUGGAGAGAGUAAUAGCAAUAGCUUACACGUCAUGGUGUUCACCAGGUGCCGCGCACCCUUCUAAGCUUUCCGUGCUUCACUCCUCCAGGCAUCCCGCUGCAGUAGGCACCUGAUCCCAUCACCUCUCUUUUACAGAGGAGGAAGCCAGCUCCACUCCACCCGACUGGCAGGCUGGGAGGGGCUGAGCUCCCCGUGAGGCUCUCUGGGCGCCGUCUGGAAGUGAGGACACCUCUUGUCCCUUUCACUGGCCAGAGCUCAGUCACGUGGUCACACCUUACUGCGAGGGAUGCUGGGAGAUAGUCCGUCUGUGCACCCAGGGGAAACUGGAAAUGGGAUUUGCUGAUUUCAAGGCAGGCUCUGCUUAGGCUCUGUCGUGCAUAAUGCCAUUUUCACCUCAGAAGGAGAUGUUAUUAACAUGGUCGCACAGCGGCUGGACUGGAGUUCCAUCUGGGCCUCCUGGCUCCUAAGCACAAUGCUAGCUGGCCUCCCGUGGAAGGAGCCGGGAAACAGGACAGAGAAGUCUAGGAACAGGGAGAUGAUAUUGUCAACCAGGCCCCCAUCAUCUGGGAAAGGGACGCUACAUCAGAGGCGGGGCCUGGAGCCUGACCUUUGGUGUCAUUCUGAGCUGUGUGGCACUGGGGAAGUCACUUCUCUCUGAGCCUUGGUUCUUUGUAAUACCAAGAUGAUGACACCUAUCUAGCCAGGUUACUUGUGAGGGUAAAAUAAGAUAACACAGCCGACCGGGGCAGGCACUCAAUAUGUGUUAAUUCAAUCUGAAUUAAAAUCUGCAUCCGGGCUUCUCACCCCUGACUGCACAUUUGAAUCCCCUGGAGAGUUUUUAAAAAUGCAGCACGCCAGAUGCCUACCCUCGGAGGUUCUGCUUUGUUCGUAUGGGGUGAGGUCGGGGCAGAGGUGUCUUCUAAAACGUCUCCCUGGGCGUUUUACUUUGCAGGCAGCCUCGAGAAGCACCUUCUGUGACAAUGAGUUUCAAUCAGAAUGGACCAACUCAUAGGUCCUCCCUACUUAAGAAGUGAAGGGGUCCAGGGUCUCUAAUUGCGACAAGGCGUUUAGGGUUGGGCUGGGGUUGACCUUGAGAUCCGAUGGGGAGCCACCGCGUCCACCAAGCGGGCAGGCAAGUCAGGAGCAGGAAAGGCCUGAUGCAUUUCAUCCACAUCUCGGCCGAGGAAGAGCACGAAAAGGUGCCAUGAACAGAGGCCGGCUCUUCAUCAGCGUGCCCCUGGCCCCGGAUUCUUCUCUCCACCAUCUGCUCUGCAAGACUGGCAGGUCCCAAAACUUACAAACAGCCCCGUCCUGUACUUCCAUGUAAAACAGUGGAGCACCCUAAUUCCCGGGCUAUUACCAGUCAAACAGCUUUCUGCCAGCUCAGGUGACACGUGGCAGUUGGCAUUUGAACAGGUCAUUUUGCAGGACCAGCAAGAGACAGUAAGUCCCACCUUGGGGCUAUUACUCCGAGAGAGAGAGAGAGAGGAAUGGCUACAAGCUUGCGACUUUGGUGAUUUGUCUGGUGUUUCCCUCGAGAGGAGGGGAGAGGGCAGGGCCUGCAGUGGCAGGUCAUUUGUUUAUUUAACAGGGCAUUUACCAUGUGCCAGGCACAUCGGACUUCACUAAGUGCUUUGCAAAUGUUAAUUCCGUUGAAUCCCCACCACAACCUCAUGAGGUUGGUACUGUUAUUAUCUUCAUUUUACAGAUGGGGAAACUGAGGCACAAAGCGCUAAGUAAAUGGCUCAAGGCUCUACAGCUGGUGAGUGGCAGAUCUGGGAUUCAGUGGAUGGACGUGGCCUCCAAGGCAUCGUGAUGGAGAGUGGAAAGGACAACAUGGCCCCUGCAUUCUUGGAGCUGACAUACCCCUGGGGGGGGGUGGUGAAUGACAGUAAGCAAUUAGACAGAUAUACUAGAUGCUUUCAGAUUGUGACAGUGCUUUGAAGGCAUCCCCGAGCAGGUGGCAUUUUAAGUAAAAAGAUGUGGCUAUCCAGAGGAAGAAUGAUUCAGCCAGAGGGGACAGCAAGUGCAAAGGCCCUGAGGUAGGAACUGGCUUGGCUUGCUGAAGGAACAGCAAGAGCUUGAGGAGUAAAGGGAGUGUGGGGGGAGAUGAACAGGAGAGGCGGCUGUGACAAGGCAUCUGGAUGGUAUUAAGAACAACGGGCAGCUGCUGGAGGAUGUUGAGCAGGAGAGUAACUGGGUUUGAGCUGCAUUUUGCUGUAACGGCUCUGGCUGCUGGGUGGAGAAAGGACGGUGAGGGGUUGGAGGGGAUCAGGGAAGCCGGUCAGGAGGACAUUGCUUGUGCUUGUGCAGGCAGAAGUGAAGAUGUGCGGGCCAGGAGGGGAGCAGUGGAAUCGGUGUGAAGUGCAUGGAUCUGGGGAAUGAGUUAGGCAUAGAGUGAUGGAAUUUGCCCUGGCUAAGAGGUGGGGUGGGGGUCGAGGACAGGCCACCCUACUGUUGGCCGGCCUGGGGCAGGAGCACAAAAGGAGGCUGCAUACCCUGGUGUAAUCUUCAGAAGUCAGACCACUAGUAAAUGAAAUAUAUGCUGCCCCCCUGUCCCGGAAGUGUCUCUUUGUAGGGACCUGGGAGGCCAGGCUCACGUUGGGACUCCUGUGUCUCCUUGGGUUCUCCUGCAACGUGGUAGCCAAGGGAGGCUGGGGCAGUGUCCUCUGAGGUGUGGGGCCCUCUGGCCUGGCUGUAGGAGCUGCACUGGGCUGGGGAAAGGGAGGGAUCAGACAAGCCUAGGUUUUCGGCUUGAGUAAGUUUUAGCCCAAGCUCACCCGCCAUUGUGAAGAUUAAAAGUGUUUUUUUAAGGCUUCCCUCCUCCGAGGCUGAGAUCCUUGCCCUUCCUCUUCUCCCUCAAGCCUCUGCUUGUGGAGGUUUAAUGCAGGUGGACCUUUGCGACCGACUCUGUGACCUCAGCUGGUUUCUAGGCCUCUUCUAGCCUUGGGAUACUCAGCUGUGUAUUGGACCACUGAUACCUUCUUUCUACCUGCCAGCCACUUAGUGAGAGAGACAAUGCCCGAAAAAUGCAUGAGGCAGAGACAGCUGUACAGUCACCAGAAUCCCUUCCCUUUUCCCUCUGGGCACAUGGCCUGCGUUUCCCGUCCCCCAUGCUGUUGAAUGUGGCCAUGUGAGUGAGUUGUGGCCGGUGGAGUGUUGGCAUAGGUGAUGUCGUCUCUUGCAAACCAGGCCUACUAGAACCUUCCCCAUGAGACCCUUCCUGCUCUGGCCCUGCCCCUGUCUGCUGGCUGCAUGUGAGGCUCCAGCAGAAGGCUCCGGUACCUUAGAACAGGGCUUGGCAAACUCUGGCCCGCGAGCUGGAUGCUGCCUGCUGCCUGCUUUUGUAAGUGAACUUUUACUGGAACACAGCCCCAUCCAUUCAUUUGUGCAUCGUCUUUUGCUAUACAUUUGUGCUGCAAUAGCAGAGUGACGUAAUCGUGAGAGACUCUAGGACCCACAAAGCCAGAAAUGUUCUCCAUGUGGCCCUUCAUAGACAAGUUUGCUGAGCCUUGUCCUAGAAGAUGGCAGAGCUGCCGGAUGGGAGGAGCUUGUCUCCCUGAGUGACCACAGGGAAGGCCACGUGCCUGACGGGCAUCUCCAUGCUGGACUCUCCAUGAGUGAGAAAUAGCAGUUUAAGUGUGAACGUCCAGUCUCACAUGGUUGUUUGUUACGGGAGCUGGUAUCACUAACCCUAACUGAUACAGUGCCUGGUACAUAGUGAGCCAAGAGCAAACGCUCGCUUCCUCCGGUCCCCAUCAUUUCACACUCUCCAUAAACUCUCGUAUUUGAAAAAGCUCAGAAGAAUGGGAGAGCUUUGUUUAGGCUUCCUUUCCCCUCCGAGCCUUUGCACAACUGUCCCCAACCCUUCUGCCAAGAACAUUCUUUGCCGUUCCUCCCCCCACCCCCCACUGUCUCCCACUGAGCUUCCCGGCUCCCAGGUAGCCACCACUGCUGCCAGGCAGCCUUCCCCUCCCGCUGCGUCCGCAAGACGAGGUAGGGUGCCUCUGCCAUGUGCUCCUAAAUAGCCGUGGAGGCCAGUGUGGUGGCGUGGGCUCAGGCCGCUGGGCUUCAAGUCCUGGCCUGCCACUUAUAAGUCGUGAGACUUUGGGCAAGCGGCUUAACCUGUCUGUGUCGCAAUUUCCUUAGCGGUAAAAUGGCAAUAAUAUCAUCUGUCUCAUGGUGUUGUGGGAAUUAAGUGAAUCGAAGCGCUUGGAAAAAUGUCUGCUACUUGGCAAGGGCUGAAGGAAUGUUAGCUGGAUUCUUCCUGUCAUUCUUUUUUUUUUUUGAAGAUUGGCACCUGAGCUAACCUCUAUCGCCAAUCUUUUUUUCUUCUUCUCCUUCCUCUUCUCUCCAAAGCACCCCCGCCCCGCCCCUGUACGUAGUUGUAGAUUCUAGUUGUAGGUCCCUCUGGUUGUGCUAUGUGGGACGCCGCCUCAGCACGGCUUGAUGAGCGGUGCCAUGUCCAUGUCCAGGAUCUGAACCAGCGAAACCCUGGGCUGCUGAAGUGGAGCGUGCAAACGUAACCACUCGGCCGCAGGGCGCCCUGUCUUCCUGCCAUUCUUAUUGCUGUGCCUGUCCCGGCGCGGCUCCCACGCCCCCACGAGAGCGCUUCCCUUGGCCUGUGAGAUGCUGCCGUGUGGCAGGCUCUGGCACACUGUGCGUGGGGAGUGAGUCCUCUGGGCUUGGGAUGCAGGCUCUGCAGACACGUUGCCGGGCAGCGUCUGGGAGAAGUUUGGGGACUAAGGUGAAGCCGUGGAGCCUGAGCAGUGUCUGCUGGGAGGAGACAGGCUGUAAGCCUUGGAACCCACUCGUAUCAGUCAAGGCUCUUUGUUGCAAACCACAGAGGCCUCUCCGGCAAUCUGAGUUAGAAGGGGAAUAAAAAGUGAUUCCAUAGAUCACAGACCUUCCAGAGGGCUCCCCCCAGACAUGGAAGCUGGACGGGCAGGAGGAAAGCUUAAACUAGACCAUCCGACGGUCCCGGUGGAGACUCUCUCCCUGCCAUCCCCAGCCGGAGGCACCCAUUACACGGGGUUCCCACCGUAAACUCUGCAGCAGCUGCUCUGUAGGCAGGAUGCCUCUCCUGUCCUGUUGGGUGUCCCCUGGACAGAUGGCACAGGCGAGCAUGCGGAGUCUGGGAAAAGGAGCCUCUUGAUGCCAACCCCACCCACCCCUGCCUCAUGGAAUCCUGGGGACCAGAUCCUUUAUUUCAGCCCCUUCUGCUAACAGCACUGGUGGAUAAUAAUACUGAUAACUGACAUUUCUGAAUCCCCGCAGGGCACCAAGCACUGAGCCCUGUGUUUUACAGCGAGGUCUCCCAUUAUCUUCACAAAAAUCCUAGGAAAUAGGUGCUAUUAUGUGCUUCAUUUUACAUAUGAUGGGACCAAGGCUUAGAGAGGUCAAGUAACUUAUCCAGGGUCACAUAGCACAACAGAGAAUUCAAAUCCAAGUGAACUCCAGAGCCCAGAUUCUUGACUGCCACCUCAUACUGCCGUCUUUACUCUCCUGGGAAGCUGCUCGGUGAUUCAGACAAUGGAAAGAAGGAGGGCCUCUGUGCAUUCAUGAAACCUGGUCUGGGCCAAUCUUCUCCUCAGGAAGGGUGUUCCACAGGGAGACGUCAAAAUUGUGCAUUCCAGCUGAAGCAGUGGUGUGGGGGGAUCCCUAGCCUGGGGGACAAUGAGCUCCUGUCAACAAGGCUGAUGACAUCAGUGCUCCAGGAUUCUUCUCCCCGCCCCCCCACUCCAUCCUCCUUUGUCUUCCCUCACUUUCCAUUGUCACAACCUCCAUCAGCACCACCGUCCCUAUUCAUCACGCUCUGCCAUUAUCAGCACCGGCCCACUGUCCUUGUUCUAUUAUGACCACAAUGAUGACCAUCGCCUGUGGCACUACUGCUGUCACCAUACACUACUGUCACCAAGCCACUGCCGCCAUCACCAAACCAUCAAUGCUACCAUGUCUGCCAUCGUUAUGACACCAUCACCAGCACUACUAUCACCACCAUCAAUUCCACCAGCACUGUCCUCAUCCCCACCCCUGUUCUGUGAGCCUGUUCACCAUUAUCAUUCACCAGGAUCCACCACGGUCACCACCACUUGACUAUCCUUGUCACCCCGCCCCCCCCCCGCACUGCCUUUAUUGCCCCCAUCACUGAUAUUUUCAUCACCACCAAUAUGUCAAUAUGUCACAGAUAUUUUGAGUCUCUCCUGUAUGUUAAGCUUUUGUUAAAUGCCAAGAUGUCAAGAUGUGAACAUGAUUAACAAAGGACUAGGAUUCGCAUUACCAUCAUCAGUUACUAGUGGAAACUCAUUACUGCCAUAUUAAUUGCCAUCUCUGCCUAAAUAGUUGCUUUGCAAAGAACAGCAUCUUUUAGAAUCUGUGAGCUCAUCUACAACAUGUCCUGGAACCCAGCUCCGACUUUCCGUCCCAUCUCCCUCCCCGUCCCACGGGUCCCACUCACGAAUUUCUUGUUGGCUUUGCCCAGGGGUCACCAGAGGGAACUUUUCCCACUCUCCCAUCCUUUUCCAGGCCUCUUCUGCCUGUCUGACCAACUGGAUGCUGGACUCUCAUGCUUCCCAGCUCCAAAGCGGUGAUAUAAUUAUUAUCAUGUGUUAAGUGGCCUUAGGUAAAUGUUACUUGGCUGAAAGCAGAAGAUGGGAGAAAUCCACUUCCCAUCGCCAAGGUUCUGUGGGGCUCUGGAAGCCUUUGUCUUCUGGAGACUGGGUGGGGAUUCUGAGGAAAGUGAUCUUUCCUCAGAACCAGGCCGCAGAGAGGGAAGGGGCGCCAAGCUGGGCCUCAGCUUAGCCCCCAAUGGCCCGUCAGAAGGAGGCGGGUUUCAGUCGGUCGUGAGAGCCUCUGGUGGGCGGAUGGGCUCUGCUCGGUGGGCUGUGCUCCCCAGCCGCUGUGGCUCCGUCUGCAUUGUACUCUGAUGUGCUCCACUACUUCCUAACUGUGCGGUCAUGGGCAGCUUACUGGACUUUUUUGUGCCUCAGUUUCCCCAACUGUAAAACAGAGAUAAUCACAUCUCUGCUGCUUGUGCUUCUGCUUGUGCCGAGGGGGGCGUGAGAGCUCCCACCUAAAGCCGGAGCAGAGUAAUCGCCCAUAGUCAAGGUCAUGGUAGGAGCAACAGCACAACCACUGACACUCAUGCUACAAAUUAUGACAAUGACUAGCGGCUUUAGGGGCCCAGGGUUCAAUAGCACGACGGCCAUUCUAACUCACAUUGAGUGAAUUAAAAACGGUCAUUUCCACUGUUCCUGUGGCUCUCACAGCCACGCAGCUGCCCUCCUUCAGUGGGGCUUGACAGAGGCAGUGCAGAGAUUUGGGUCCAAAUCCUGAUUCUGCCAGUUACUAGCUGUUUGACCUUCAGCAAGUCCCUUAACCUCUCUGUGCCUCAGAAGUUAUACAAUGGGGAUAAUCGUAGUGAUGACCUCACAGAGCUGUGGUGCUGCUUAAAUACUUACGUGCUUGGCACAAGGUCAGCGUGCGGCAAGUGCUUCCUGUUAUCAUUAUUAAUUAGUCAGUCAACCAAACAAAUGUGUCAGGCAUUCCAGUGGAUUCCAAGUGGAUUCAAAUAUGUUGAAAUGUGCCAGGAACACCAGUGGAGGUGAGCCUCCCCUCCGUGUUUGCUUAAGGCCUGAGAGGCGUCCGGAAAGCACAUCCCUCAGGAGCAGGGCCCGGGCUGGGGUGAGGCCAGGAGGCCCCCGGGACCCCAACUGAAGGAGGCCCUCUCGCUCCACAAGCGGGAGACUGAGUGCCUCCUUAAACUGUGCGUCCUGAGCACUUGCUUGUCCUGACCCAGGCAGGAAGCCAGACUUGCCCACGGCUCCAGUGGUCCAGUGGUCGGGACCAGGGUGCUGAGCAUCAGAAGGCCUUGCAGCAGCCAGCAAGGGGUGUAGAAAGAAAGGCGUCACUACAGUGCUGCCACCGAUGUUGGUCACGCUCUGAGAUCCCUUCGAACCCCUUGGGCAGUUGUCCUGCCUCCCAAGGUAGAAGCCAGGAGGGCGGAGUGGCAGGCUCCCGCCGCUGGGGCACAGACCAAGCUCUCAGGACAGUGGGAGGAAGGUCCUGGCCGGAGCGCCCGUGGCCCGGCCCUGGCGGCGUGGACGGCAGUGGUCUUCUGUGUGUAUUCUUGCAGGGUAAUCUGCACACUGUUCCUGGCUUUGUGGGCUGAGCUUGACUCUGGCCCUUCUGGAGACUCCGUGAAUGUCGCCUGAUGGCUGCCUGUGUCAGCUAACCUUGCUAGAGUGGGGCCUGUUGCAGGCACCCAAGAGCCCUGGCUGGCACAGACGAGAUGAGGCCUCGCGGAAGCCAGGGCAGCACAGGCCUGGAGCUGGGAGCCGGAGGGCAGCGGCCCGCUCCUUCCUUCCCCUCUCAUCUCUGUGUCUCUGUCCAUGCACACGGGUGUGGUUUCUCAGAUUUUCUGCUCACGUGGGGGCCGUGGUUACCUGGGCCAGCCCUCACAGAAAUAGACCCCGUGUCUCCUGGCCCCGGCACCAAAUUCUUGUGAGAAAUACAUCUGAAUGGCCCACUGCAGGCCAGCUGCCCAUGCCUGGUCCCGUCGCUGUGUCCAGGGAGCGGAGAUACACUGUAUGCACACUCUUGCUGGGUCCCCUCCCUUUGGCAGUUCUCAGGAAGGAGAGUUCCCUGCGAGCUGGCAGGUAUCCCUCAGGAUCCACCAGAGGCAAGAAAAUUUCUAUGGCUGAAGCCAAGGAGGCCGUUCAGAUCUUUCUGGUGGCCCCCGCCCUGUGGGGCUGGUCUCAGUGCAGGGUUGGACAUGGCUGUAAGUCAAACCGGAGAGAGCUGUUUCAUUCUGGAACACGCUGGGCCCAAGCAGCUCUGACAUGAGGCUGCUAUAACAGUGAAUUAAAAAAAAAAAAAGGACUUUUCUUACCCUGCUUCUCCCUCCCUGCCACAGAGCACACAGCAGCGACAUCUGGAGGUCCGGGUGGUGGGUACACGGGUCCUGGCGAGGGAGCGGUCACUCCCAGUGGGUGCAGUCUCUUUGGGAGGACAUGGGGAUACUCUUUGGUGAUCCUAUAAAUACCACUGAUGGGAGAAUAGGACUCUUGGGGCACGGUCCUUGGAAAAGCAGGUAGAUGUGAGUCACUGCUGCUAACGGGCAAGUGGCCCGGGGACCGCAGGUGACGACGUCCUUCCUCAGUGCCUACCGUGCUGGCCGGGGAGGCGCCCACCCUCCAGGCCCCAGGAUCCCAGGCAGUGGGCUAUUCUGCUUUAUCCACAGGAGCACACUCAGCUCUAAAUGCAUGCAGAAGUCCAAGUGGGAAGAACAAGAAAGCCUUUGGGUUGGUUUUACAGAAUCAAAGUAAAAUGUACUGUUUCAUAGACUCUAGACUUUUCUGAGGGAGAGAAUCCCCUGCUCUUAUAAAUAAGAGACUUAAUUCAUGGGUACUCACAACACCCCCGGGGACGGCCCUUCCAUCUGUGAAGUCCGUGCACGUGGGAGGGGAAGCGGACCCCCUGGCCCUUCCUGUCGGGGGCCUGCCUGCUGCCAACUGGAGAGUCUGGAGAUGCCCCCGGCCUUGUCGUGCGUCCUGGUCUCUGCCCCCGCCGCCCCUCUUCCAUUUGAGUCUCCAAAGGCAGUGGACGCCUUCUCCUGCCUCUGAGCGUUUAGGCAUGCUGAACUUCUUGCCUUUUCUGCGCUCUUGUCCACUUGGAUCGCUCCGGCCAUUCUUCCAGAGCCCUCCUCAAGCGUCCUCUCUGCAGACACUCGAGCUCACCUGCCCAGGGUCUACUCCCCGUUCUGAGGACAGAACUCUAAUGUGUGUAAGUCUGGGGGUGUCGACAGGAUGCUCUCCCUUGCAGGGAGGGAGGCCCUGUGACGUCGGCAUCGCCCUCCUCGCCAGUGCUCCGGAGUGAGUGUGAUCACGGCCACAGUGACCUCCCAGCAGACUCGUAGGUGACCUGAGACGGCAUUUUGCCAGCCUCUGGGGCUCCGGCACACACGCCCUG
ensembl:lncRNA